UCAGCUAGUUGGUGUGGGUAAUGGCCCACCAAGGCGACGACGGGUAGCCGGCCUGAGAGGGUGACCGGCCACACUGGGACUGAGACACGGCCCAGACUCCUACGGGAGGCAGCAGUGGGGAAUAUUGGGCAAUGGGCGAAAGCCUGAUCCAGCAACGCCGCGUGAGGGANGACGGCCUUCGGGUUGUAAACCUCUUUCAGCAGGGACGAAGCGAAAGUGACGGUACCUGCAGAAGAAGGACCGGCCAACUACGUGCCAGCAGCCGCGGUAAUACGUAGGGUCCGAGCGUUGUCCGGAAUUAUUGGGCGUAAAGGGCUCGUAGGCGGUUUGUCGCGUCGGGAGUGAAAACNCAGGGCUCAACCCNGAGCGUGCUUCCGAUACGGGCAGACUAGAGGUAUGCAGGGGAGAACGGAAUUCCUGGUGUAGCAGUGGAAUGCGCAGAUAUCAGGAGGAACACCGGUGGCGAAGGCGGUUCUCUGGC
rnacentral:rRNA from 1 species